GACGUAGGGCGCGAGCGUUGUCCGGAUUUAUUGGGCGUAAAGAGCUCGUAGGCGGCUUGUUGCGUCGACUGUGAAAACCCGCGGCUCAACCGCGUGGCUUGCAGUCGAUACGGGCAGGCUAGAAUUCGGUAGGGGAGACUGGAAUUCCUGGUGUAGCGGUGAAAUGCGCAGAUAUCAGGAGGAACACCCGGUGGCGAAGGCGGGUCUCUGGGCCGAUAUUGACGCUGAGGAGCGAAAGCGUGGGAGCGAACAGG
rnacentral:rRNA from 1 species